rnacentral:rRNA from 1 species
UACGGGGGGGGCAAGCGUUGUUCGGAAUUACUGGGCGUAAAGGGCUCGUAGGUGGCCAACUAAGUCAGACGUGAAAUCCCUCGGCUUAACCGGGGAACUGCGUCUGAUACUGGAUGGCUUGAAUUCGGGAGAGGGAUGCAGAAUUCCAGGUGUAGCGGUGAAAUGCGUAGAUAUCUGGAGGAACACCGGUGGCGAAGGCGGCAUCCUGGACCGGUAUUGACGCUGAGGCGCGAAAGCCAGGGGAGCAAACGGG